CCUACGGGUGGCUGCAGUGAGGAAUAUUGGUCAAUGGGCGUAAGCCUGAACCAGCCAAGUCGCGUGAGGGAUGAAGGUUCUAUGGAUCGUAAACCUCUUUUAUAAGGGAAUAAAGUGUGGGACGUGUCCUAUUUUGUAUGUACCUUAUGAAUAAGGAUCGGCUAACUCCGUGCCAGCAGCCGCGGUAAUACGGAGGAUCCGAGCGUUAUCCGGAUUUAUUGGGUUUAAAGGGUGCGUAGGCGGCCUUUUAAGUCAGCGGUGAAAGUUUGUGGCUCAACCAUAAAAUUGCCGUUGAAACUGGGGGGCUUGAGUAUGUUAGAGGUAGGCGGAAUGCGUGGUGUAGCGGUGAAAUGCUUAGAUAUCACGCAGAACCCCGAUUGCGAAGGCAGCCUGCCAGGCCAUGACUGACGCUGAUGCACGAAAGCGUGGGGAUCAAACAGGAUUAGAUACCCCAGUAGUC
rnacentral:rRNA from 1 species